AUGCAUCUCUGACAGAGCUGAAGCAGUUAAUGUCUGCUGCUAAGGUUUCCACUAUAGAUGCAAGAAAAUUAAGGUCCUUGCACUUUCUGUCUGUCUGGUUGUGGCAGCCAAAAUUGAAUGGGGGAAUACAGGA
rnacentral:snoRNA from 1 species